UGUCUAAUGGUGAUGGCAGAUGUCUAAUGGUGAUGGCAGAUGUCUGAUGGUGAUGGCAGAUGUCUGAUGGUGAUGGCAGAUGUCUGAUGGUGAUUGCAGAUGUCUGAUGGUGAUAGGGGAAAAGACAAUCUGCCACCACUCGGACUGUAAACAAAAAAGGGCUGUUAAAUACACAACUCGUUGGGGGUAUCUGGGCCUUUAUUGCGAUAGGCCGAAGCAACUGCCCUGAUAAGGGAAUACAAGAAACAAUGAGAAAAAAAUUUCGUUGAGGACCAGAUCGCGUUGUACCAUUCACUGUAGCAGUUCUAUAAUAAGCAUGUGCACAUGACUAAUUUUUGCUAAUAUUUGUUCCGGCUAUCUGGCAUUUCCGGAUGACAAGCCAUUAUCUCAUCUGGUAUUUAUUCCUGAUAAACAGGGUCUAUCACCCACUUCCGUCAAUAGCAGCAAGAUCCCUUUAACUGUAAGCAUGUUACAAUGACACAUGAAGAGAAUCGCCCCAUUGGGACUGGUUAUUGCUUAGGGAAAGGUUGGGGUAUACAGCUGAAAUUGAACAAGCCACUUGCAAUUCAAAAAUUUUCUGCAUUUACAGGGAGCCAGAUACAAAUAACUAUACACACGUUAGAGUGAAUAACAAACAGAUUUUGUGAAAGAAUAACAAACUACUCUCAUAACCUAGGAUGGAAAAUCCACAAGACAGAGUAGGGGUAGCUGCUGUAAUAAACCAUGUGACUGGGCUUGCCAAGAUGGCUGCCAGCUAGAUGUUGUGUGUUUCCUCUGUAACCUCAUAGAAAUGAAGAUGCCUUGAAAUUCAAAAAAUGACCAGUGUAAUAAAUAAAUACAAUUAUCAAAUAAAAGCCUUUGUUUACAGAUACCCAAUCCACCUUUAUUUAUAUAUUUAUAUAUUAUUUAUAAAUUCAUAUAUCUAAAAGGACCAACAAAUGCUAAAAGGAACAUUAAUGACCCAAGGAGAAAGGCAUAUACUAUAAAUCUAUAUUAUUAUUACUUUCCAUAAUGAUGACUUCCAACUCUAAAAUUACUGUAUCUAACUGCAAAUGAGGUGGAAUAUUUUUUAUUCUUCUUAUCAUAAUGUAAAUAUGCUUUAUACACAACAAAUUCCAAAGCAAUCAAAUCAAGAAGAAUCAUUAUGCAAAAACGUUAGAAUUAAAAUUUAUGCAACAAAUGUUUAUCUGACCACAGUCUACCAAGUAACAGAUAUCUCCAGCGAGGGGACUGGGUACUAUGUUGGCCUCAACAACAAAGAAUUUAAGGCGAGAAUUGUAAACCAUUGGAGUACCAAAAAAAUAGCAAUCAAAGUUCAACAUCAAGGGGACGAUCAUACGCAUAGCAUGUGAGCAAUCCACAAAAAAAAAAAUAUGUGCCUACUAGACAAAUACUCAUCAUCUGUACUGCAGGAUGUAAAGUUUCCCAAAACCAGGCAAGGAAAAAUCACCCAAGCUCCAUGAUGCUCCGGCCACAAUCAUUACUCGUUCAUAGGGCGCUACUUCCAAAACAAAGCAGAUGAAAUAAACUAUCCAGGAGAUGUUGGUGUUAAAGAAAAUCAAACAUCCACCUUCUCUCAUCUUGAUGGACAAGUUUGAGCCACUGUCAAGCACUGAGAGACUACAGCUUACCAACCUUCAUGUUUCCCAAGAGGAAGCAGAUGAUGCUAAAUAAAGGAAAAGGCCAUUUACCUUAACAUGCACAAGACCACGACAAACUUGAUAUCUCAGAGUUAAUGUACACCUUCUGCCACUAUGAUGCAAUAAUGGCAUUAUUAGCACCCACUAUAAUCAAUCAUUAUAUUUAAUAUUAGAAGAUUAAAGAUUACAACUCUCAAUGAGCCUGUCUGCUGGAGCCAAUAAGCUGUUGAACCCAUCUUGAUGAUGGGUGAUAUAGUUAUUUAGGACUGUUCAUGGUUGGAAAGGAUUUGUGCUAUGGCAACCCUGUGUAGAUUAUAAUGCAUAAAUAAAAAGGAAUCGAUCAAGCUUUAAAAACUCUUUUAUAUUUUACUUGAAUAAAAAUACUACAUUAAUCAAAUCUAAAUACAAGACAUUAGUGUAUCUAGGAGCCUGGACCCUAGGAAAAUAGUAUGCAUGCCCAUGUAUGAGAAGGCACGCCAUGGGACACAUGAAGGCGGUUUCUUUGAGGUAUUAAACCUAAUGUUUAUUAGUUUAUUUGACCUUGGGUCACUAUUACAGAAAUUACUCCCAAUUUUGAUUGUUCUGAUUACAGGUCUUGAUCUUGCUCAGAGUUAUCAAGCUUCGUAAAAGUGUUGACAGCCCACACAGGAAAAAAAUAUGAUUUCCCAAUUCUAACAUUUUGGGUUAUAGUUGGGAAAAUUUCCCAAUAAUGUGAAAAAAUGGGGAAAACUGAAACAAGAAUUGGGAAAUUAUUGAGUUCCAAUCUAAGCCAAAACUUCCUUUCACAAAAAAUUCACUUUAAUGGAAUAAGAUGGGAUUUAUUCCCAAUAAAAUCCCAUUACUGGGAAAUGGAUGUGAAUUCAUACACAAUAAAUACCCAAAAC